CCUACGGGUGACAGCAGUGAGGAAUAUUGGUCAAUGGGCGCAAGCCUGAACCAGCCAAGUCGCGUGAGGGAUGACGGUCCUAUGGAUUGUAAACCUCUUUUGUCCGGGAGUAAGGCCCGCCACGUGUGGCGGUAAGGAUAUUACCCGAAGAAAAAGCAUCGGCAAACUCCGUGCCAGCAGCCGCGGUAAUACGGAGGAUGCGAGCGUUAUCCGGAUUUAUUGGGUUUAAAGGGUGCGUAGGCGCAAGGUAAAGUCAGGGGUCAAAUGUCGGUGCUCAACACCGGCCUGCCGUUCAAACUGGUCUUCUUGAGUGAGCGAAAAGUAUGCGGAAUGCGUGGUGUAGCGGUGAAAUGCAUAGAUAUGACGAAGAACUCCGAUUGCGAAGGCAGCAUACCGGAGCUCAACUGACGCUGAGGCACGAAAGCGUGGGGAUCGAACAGGAUUAGAUACCCCUGUAGUC
rnacentral:rRNA from 1 species